AUGUCUGAUGCAAAAGUGAAUACAAAAGGGAGUCCUGCGUCUGAACAUGCUCAGUACAAUCACAUGUCUACAACCCCUCUCACACCAAAGAAAUACAGUCAAACUGGCAAACCAACUCCAACUCCCACCAUUCCUAACAGCCUCAGGUCUGAUGUACAAGUGAAAACAAAAGGGAGUCCUGCGUCUGAACAUGCUCAGUACAAUCACAUGUCUAUAACUCCUCUCACACCAAAGAAAUACAGUCAAACUGGCAAACCAACUUCAACUCCCACCAUUCCUAACAGCCUCAGGUCUGAUGCACAAGUGAACACAAAAGGGAGUCCUGCGUCUGAACAUGCUCAGUACAAUCACAUGUCUACAAGCCCUCUCACACCAAAGAGGUACGGUCAAACUGGCAAACCAUCUUCAACUCCCACCAUUCCUAACAGCCUCAGGUCUGAUACAAAAGUGAAUACAAAAGGGAGUCCUGCGCCUGAACGUGCUCAGUACAAUCACUUGUCUACAACCCCUCUCACACCAAAGAAGUACAGUCAAACUGGCAAAUCAACUUCAACUCCCACCAUUCCGAACAGCCUCAGGUCUGAUACAAAAGUGAAUACAAAAGGGAGUCCUGCGCCUGAACGUGCUCAGUACAAUCACUUGUCUAUAACCCCUCUCACACCAAAGAAGUACAGUCAAACUGGCAAAUCAACUUCAACUCCCACCAUUCCUAACAGCCUCAGGCCCCUUCCUUUUCCCCUUCCGCCGCUUAAGCGGAGUCAAAGUGCUGCCAAACUGCGUUAAAUCUACCGUGUAGAUGCACCCAAAGUCAACUUGAUGGCCAAUGACAACAAUAGCAAGUAAUUGCACGCUGUUUUGGGCAACUAUCGAUCAUUUCCCUUUAAGUGCUCCCCAAAAUAAUAAUCUAUUCAACAUGGUUUUAGGAGGUGCAACUCCACUGUAGAUUAUGAUAACGAUGAUUAAUUGUGAUUAUGAUUAUGAUUAAAUCAUCUGUAGAUGGAAUGCUUUAAUUGCCAUGGCUCAAUGCAGUUGAAUCCCGGGAGUUCCAGUCUGACAUGGCCUGUGGCCUUCUCGGUCAAAGAGGAUCCGUGCCUCCUCAAACUACAAAUCCCACUACAAAAUUUCAAUCACUACUUGAAUUGCCCAAGCAUUGAGCCUGGGCAGUUCAAGCGGGAUCAAACUGCAUUAAUUCUACAGUGUGAAUCCCGGGAGUUCCAGUUUGACAUGGUCUCUGGCCAUCUCGGUCAGAAGAACAAUUAUUCAUCUCCCUCUAAUUAGGACUUCAUUUUUCUUUUCUUUUUGUUGUAUGAACGUAGAGGCGUGGAUGAGCGGUUGUGCUGUCAGUUUUCGAGGUUGUGGGGUGUUUAGUUUUGUUGUUUUGUCCUCGGCCGAAAUUUCAUUACCCUUUUAUAUAUAUAGACUAGCUGUGCCCGGCCACGCGUUGCUGUGGCAAAGUGGUGGUGGUAUUGGUUAAAAAUUGUUGCGUAAUUUUUAUUUGACGUGAUUUGCAAUUUUUUUAUUAAUUUUAUUGUAAGUGAUAUUUUUAAUUAUUAUAUUUUAUUAUUUUCUUGUAUUAUUUUUCGUUAUUUUCUGUUAUUAUAGUAUUUUAUUGUAUUAAUUUUUAGUGUGUUUUUAUUAUUUUUUAUUGGGUUGCUAGGAGACCAAGUUGGAGGAGCUUAGCCUUCUAACUGGCAGCAGUUGGAUAAAAGCAAUUAUUCCUCUCUCUCUAAUUAGGACUUUAUUUUUCUUUUCUUUUGGUUGUAUCAACCUAGAGGCGUGGAUGAUGGGUUGUGUUGUCAAAUUUCGAGGUUGGGGGGCCUGUAGUUUUGUUGUUUUGUGGGUCGCCGUGAUGCCAUCACUCUUUUAUAUAUAUAGAAGAUUAUUAUUAUCUCCUUCCCUCCUUUUGCGAUGUUGCAAUGCCCACUUAGGUGGGUGUCUUUUAAAACUGGAAAGCCCACUCUUUAAAAAUAAAAUAAAAUUAGCAGAGUGCAUGCAUGCUUUGAAAGGGAAAGUGGAAGGGAAAGAAAGAUACCCAAGGUCUUGGGUUCAGGUGAAUGCACGGUUUGCAAUGUUUACGUUUGCAUCACCCGGGGCUCCUCCGGCAGGUGAAGAAGUCAAGUGGAAGUCGAGAGAUAGAUAAUGUUUGGGUGGCUUUAUUUUGCUUUGAAGGCAGGAAAAAAAAUCACCUCUGGGCUUCGAGGUCUGACGUUGCUCCAGCACGAGGAAGCGUCGCCAUCCAGAAAGACUUGCACGCAAAAGUUGUCCGGAUUCAACCUUUCCCUGAAGAUAUCGUGACUAAAGGCCGUGGCCUGACCUGACCACGGAAGGGAAUCACAAGGCAUGGGCCAACUUUGGCCCUCUUUCCAGGUGUUUUGGACUCCAACUCCCACCAUCCCUAACGAAAAAGUGCAAAUGUGAGGGUUUAUAUAGGUAAGGUAAAGGUAAAGGUUUUCCCUUGACGUUGAGUCGAGUUGUGUCCAACUCUGGGGGUUGGGGCUCAUCUCCAUUUCUAAGCCCAAGAGCCGGCGUUGUCCGUAGACACCUCCCAAGGCCAUGUGGCCAUUGGCAUGACUGCAUGGAGCACGAUUACCUUCCCACCAGAGCAGUACCUAUUGAUCUACUCACGCCCUGGGGUUGGGGCUCAUCUCCAUUUCUAAGCCCAAGAGCCGGCGUUGUCCAUAGACACCUCCAAGGCCAUGUGGCCAUUGGCAUGACUGCAUGGAGCACGAUUACCUUCCCGCCAGAGCAGUACCUAUUGAUCUACUCACGCCCUGGGGGUUGGGGCUCAUCUCCAUUUCUAAGUUGAAGAGCCGGCAUUGUCCGUAGACACCUCCCAAGGCCAUGUGGCCAUUGGCAUGACUGCAUGGAGCAUGAUUACCUUCCCGCCAGAGCAGUACCUAUUGAUCUACUCACACCCUGGGGUUGGGGCUCAUCUCCAUUUCUAAGCCCAAGAGCCGGCGUUGUCCAUAGACACCUCCAAGGCCAUGUGGCCAUUGGCAUGACUGCAUGGAGCACGAUUACCUUCCCGCCAGAGCAGUACCUAUUGAUCUACUCACACCCUGGGGUUGGGGCUCAUCUCCAUUUCUAAGCCUAAGAGCCGGCGUUGUCCAUAGACACCUCCAAGGCCAUGUGGCCAUUGGCAUGACUGCAUGGAGCACGAUUACCUUCCCACCAGAGCAGUACCUAUUGAUCUACCCACACCCUGGGGUUGGGGCUCAUCUCCAUUUCUAAGCCUAAGAGCCGGCAUUGUCCAUAGACACCUCCAAGGCCAUGUGGCCAUUGGCAUGACUGCAUGGAGCACGAUUACCUUCCCACCAGAGCAGUACCUAUUGAUCUACUCACACCCUGGGGUUGGGGCUCAUCUCCAUUUCUAAGCCUAAGAGCCGGCGUUGUCCAUAGACACCUCCCAAGGCCAUGUGGCCAUUGGCAUGACUGCAUGGAGCAUGAUUACCUUCCCGCCAGAGCAGUACCUAUUGAUCUACCCACACCCUGGGGGUUGGCGCUCAUCUCCAUUCCUAAGCCAAAGAGACGGAGUUGUCCGUAGACUCCUCCAAGGGCAUGUGGCCAAAGGCAUGACUGCAUGGAGCACCGUUACCUUCCUGUCUGAACAGUAGCUAUUGAUCUACUCACAUUUACAUGUUUUCCAACUGCUGGGUUGGCAGAAGCUGGGGCUAAUAGUGGGGGCAGUACCUAUUGAUCUACUCACAUUUGAAUGUUUUCGAACUGCUAGGUUGGCAGAAGCUGGGGCUAAUAGCAGGAGCAGUACCUAUUGAUCUACUCACAUUUGCAUGUUUCCGAACUGCUAGGUUGGCAGAAGCUGGGGCUAACAGCGGGAGCAGUACCUAUUGAUCUACUCACAUUUGAAUGUUUUCGAACUGCUAGGUUGGCAGAAGCUGUGGCUAAUAGCGGGAGAGGU
ensembl:lncRNA